rnacentral:rRNA from 1 species
UACGUAGGGGGCAAGCGUUGUCCGGAAUCAUUGGGCGUAAAGCGCGUGUAGGCGGCUGAGUAAGUCUGCUCUGAAAGCCCGGGGCUCAACCCCGGGAGGCGGGUGGAUACUGCUCAGCUCGAGUCCGGAAGAGGAGUGUGGAAUUCCUGGUGUAGCGGUGAAAUGCGCAGAUAUCAGGAGGAACACCAAUGGCGAAGGCAGCACUCUGGGACGGUACUGGACGCUGAGACGCGAAAGCGUGGGGAGCAAACAGG